GACAGAGGGUGCAAACGUUGUUCGGAAUUACUGGGCGUAAAGCGCGUGUAGGCUGCUCUGCAAGUCGGAUGUGAAAGCCCUGGGCUCAACCUAGGAAGUGCAUUCGAAACUGCAGAGCUGGAGUCCUGGAGAGGAAGGCGGAAUUCUCGGUGUAGAGGUGAAAUUCGUAGAUAUCGAGAGGAACACCGGUGGCGAAGGCGGCCUUCUGGACAGUGACUGACGCUGAGACGCGAAAGCGUGGGGAGCGAACGGG
rnacentral:rRNA from 1 species